UGUUGCUAACACUUAUGGAAUACCACAAUUCUGAUGAUAUUUCCCCCCAGUGAAUUCUGUCAACACAAUUGGGCCAGGACGUGAGAUGUGGUUGAGGAGGCGCGGAGCUCACGGAAAUGAGAUGCCCCCAGGAAGACGGAGCUGAACGAAUACUUUGGGGCUCUGUGUCGAACCGAGAAGGACGCAAAAGGCCCAGUGAGUGCACACAGGGGGAGAAAUCUCAACACUUCCAGAGCGGAGUUCUCGAGAGUCAGAGGAAACUAUCUCGGUGCCCAGAAAGCUCGCUCCUAAUUGUUGGUCCUAUGACAGUAUAAUAACACAGCACCGUUGUUGAAGCAGAUCCUGUUACCCUCAACUUCUAGAUGUGGAAGUGGAGCCUCAGAGGUCAGGUAGCUUUCUACGGUCACGUAGCAAAUAGCCGCAGAGAAGCAGACCUGUGGAAUGACAAAGCCCACACUCUGAGGGACACUUGGGGUAAGCCCCUUCCAAUCACCCGUCUUGUGAAUCUGUGAAUGUGACUGAGAAUGUGGCACAGAAGGACACAUUAAAUUAAGUAUCGGUGAGCCCUCAUUAGGGGUUAUGGUUGUCGGAUAAGAGAUAUUUUCCCGAGGCUAGCUUUUAAAAUAGAAUAAAAAUGCAUCUCUUGGGAAAGAUGUCAAUAGUAGAAGUCAUGAAGGUAGGCCAAGAAAGCGAACUGUUAAUCCUAUGCUCACCCUUGCAGAAAUCGUACCCAGGCAUCACGCUGUCCCCACAAUAUGUUUCCUACCACUGGACACAGGGUACUAAGAUGAGCCAGGAGGGGCGUGAUCAGGGCCACCACCCUGUGCCCCGACUCUGCCUAUUCAGCUCUGCUUACCUGAGGACUGUGGUCUUUUCAUCCCCUCUUAGGACAAAACCGGUAUUGAUAUUUAACAUCUCUGGAACGUUCCUGCCUUUCUUUACAUUUUUUUCCACAGGUCCUAUUUUUUCCUGGAACGAUUUUGAGUUUUUCAGAGACGGGGCAACUGGGACUUUGGGUCUUAAUUUAUGGCCCUCCGUGGGAGGCAUACGACCUUGUGUUCAAAAGGCAGUUUCUUCUCUUCCCACAGCUGAAUUAAAACACGGAGGGCAUCUCUGGAUCUGUUAGCAUCCUUCUUUAUUAAUCAUUAAUUCAAAAAACUCAGGCCUAAGACUCUCUCCUCCUCAGUUCCAGAGGGGCCGGGCCACUGCCCUUGUCUGCCCAAAAGCAACACCACCCCAGGGGCCUGGAGGACAGAUCAUGGAACCAAGGAAGAUAGUUCUUGAGCCUUAAAAUCUAAUGGGCUUUGCCCUGCUAAGUUCUGGACUUAGUUGGGACUCAUGACCUAUUUCUUCUUGCUGAUUUUUCCCAUUUAGAACAGAAAUGUCUCUCUUAUGCCUGUCCCCCAUUGUAUUUUGGAAGCACGUAAUUUAUUGUCUGGUUCCACGGGUUCACGGAGAAAGAGGAAUUUUACCCCAGGAUGAAUUGUGUCUGGAUUCUCACCCACAGAAUGAGAUUCAGAUGAGAUUCAUGGACUUAGAGCUGUUAAUGCUAGAAUGGGCUGACUUUUUGGGUUAUCAGGAUGGGGUGGAUGUAUGUUGCAUGUGAGAAAGACAUGAGUUUUGAGGGGCUGGAGAGUGGAGUGUUAUGGGCUGCAUUGGGCCCCCCCCCAAAAAAAUUCAUAAGUUGACGUCUUAACCCCCAAUACCUCAGGAUGUGCAUGUAUUGGGGAUAUAAGAUGUUUUAAAAGAUGAUUUUGUUAAAAUGAGACCAUUAGGGUGGGCCCUAACCCGACAUUGUGGGUGUCCCUUUAAGAAGGGGAAAUUUGGACACAGACACACAGAAAGCCAUGCGAAGACACAGAGAGAAGACUGCCAUCUACAAGUCAGGACAAGGCCUCAGAAGACAGCAACUCUGCCAAAACCUUGAUCACAAGCUUCCAGAACUGUGAGGGAAUAGAUUUCUGUUGUUUAAGCACCCCCCGUCUGUGGUACUUUGUUAUGGCUGCCGGAGCAAGCUAAUACACUAUGUUUCCAACGUUGCAAGCCAACAUUAAUUUUGGUUUUGUUAUUUUUAUUGUCUUUGGCUGCCAUAAAACACUGCAGACUCAUACUAGGGACCUAACCCCCCCCCCCAGAACUUCCUAUAUGAUGUGUCUGUGCUGUAGAAUAAAGAAUUCGGCCUUUGUCCUUGGUGUCUAGGAGACAGCCUCUAAAUCUUAGAAUUUCUUGAGUAGACAGAAGUGUCUUCUUGUUCAUGGUGGGCCCCCCCCACCACCACACCUGAGCUGGUGCUAAUGAGGCGACUCAGGAUGGGACUGUUCGUGCCAGAAAGACCAAUCACACGAUUAGAAGGUUGGGAACUUGCAUCACCAGGACUUCCCGUGGGAGGAGGCCAGAGACUGAAUGCGAUCUUGUGGCCAAUGCCUCCAUCAAUCAUGCCAAUAAGGAGAUCUCACUGAAAACUUCGAACAUUAUGAAAUCUCUGCACACUGAGGCCUGGGAAGGUGUGGGUGCAACAGGGGUUGAGUGACCGUCCAUAAGGACAGUGCAGAAGGACCGUCAGAUCUGCUCAGCUUGCUUAGCUAUGGAUGUUCGGCGAAUCCCAUAAGGCUUAUAACCGUACAGGAGCAAAGAGGGCACCAGGCUGUGACCGGCCUGAGGCUGCACCCGACCCAGGCCACCUUCCCGUUGGCCACAAUGCAGGAUUGUCAGGCGUGAGAGUCAAGACGGUGUCUGAUGGGCGAUUGCAGGUUACGAUGCUGGUGGGUAACCCAAGCGAGCUCGCCUGACUAUCUGAGUGCGUGCUGCCUUCCAGAAACCAGCCAGACCGCCUAACAUUAAAGGUGCCGUUCUCUUAAGGUGCCAUCCGACAACACGGCACCUCCACUCCUCAACAGCAACUCUGCUGGUUGUAUUUGUAGGCAGCCCCAUUUCACAGAUCAGAAAACUGAGGCUCAGAGAGCCACUGUGCUGCCUGCAGCCACACAGGUGUUCACUGCCACAAAGCUGAGGCCGGAAGCGGCUUCUGGCUGACCCCAGAGUCCACAUUCUGUCCGACGCACUUUUCUGUCUUCUCCGCACCACAUAGGCCACACCUCUCCCACUUCUGGUUCAAAUGUGGGGCAAUUCCGUCCCUCAGGGAAGUAACACCCUGCACCGUGGGAGCCACACGCAGGACGUUUAGCAACCUGUGGGCAUUCGUCUUAGACGCUGCCUGCCUGACAUAAUGUCCACCUGGGCAGAGAGCAGAAGGUUAUGUUCGCCAGAAAAAAAGAAUAAAGGCCCCUGAUGGCUCCUCUCCAUUUCCACUGAGUGUUGUUGUGCCCCCCGUGGGGACGUGUGGCCUGGUUCGAGGCUUCGGAGCGGGAGAUCGGCCUCUUCAAUCUUCUCUGCAAGCCAGGCCAUGCCAGGGACCCAGCUGGCCAGGCCACAGCUCUGAUACCCUCACGUACCUGACCGCCUCUCAUCAGCAAGCCUGUGGAGGAUGACCCCCGCCGGCUCUGAAGUGACCCGUCUCCCCACAGUGGAUCUGCGAGAGACAGCACUCACCACGUCCUCGGAGAAGAGGCCCACGAAAGCCAAAGUGCCCAGGGCCCGUGAAAGUCAUAGCAGCCCGGCUCAGAGGUGACCUCCCCAGUCGUUUCUGCCACUCUGCUGCCCACAUCACUGGCAACUUUCAGAAUAGCCUCAGAAGAGGACGGCGUUAUACAGAUGACCAGAGAAGCUAAGUGAUUCUAAGUCCUGGGGUUGGAGGAGGCAGCCUGGCUAAUGUGGCAGAUUGCUAGAGCAAGUGAGUCUCGGGGCUAUGGGAUGAGGUCUGGUCUGCACGAUGUAUCUCCUGGGUGGAGGUUGGAAGAAGACCAGGGGUUUGCGAUAUCCUCAGGUGAUUAUAAGUCAAGGUUUUACGAUUUGAAUAAUGCAUUAAAUAUACCGGUGAACUGGCUUCUUCCCAGAAUUCAGGGAUGAUUCUUUUGCAAGUUCAGGUGCUCAUAACCUUGCCUAUAUCUACAGGUUUUUAUCAACUUGGAUUUUAGUAUAUCCCAUUUUCUCUAAACAGAACAUAAGCUAUUUGUUAGUGUCUUGAGUUCAGCUCUGGACUCUAACCUACAACAGCAAUAUAAAGUAGGAGAACGAGGUUCACGAAAAUUAAAAACAAAACAAAAUAAAACUGUCUCAGGGAUGGAAACUGAAGCCUUUGAGGAAAAGCUGAUAGAAUUGUUUUAAGUAACAAAGCAAAAAAAAAAAAAAAAAAAAGCUAGCAUCCUGUACUUGGGAAGGAUAAUAACGUUCCAGAAUGUUCCCUGGAAGCUAUCUUGUCCUUAAGUUGUUUGUCCACAUGGGGCACAGAUUCAAUUGAGAACGACCUAUGCUGUGGUAUUAAAAACACUGUUACUUGAAGGAUAGAAUACCCUCUCAGACUAUCUGAUUCAUUGAUUCAUUCAACAAAUUUUACUGGUCCCUUACAAACUGUCAGGCACUCUAGAAGAAGGCACACUAGUCCCCGCCCUUCUAGAGAUUACAUUCCAGAGGGGAGACAGAAGCAGAUAUAGCCAGGCUGGUCAUUGAGACGACACCUCAUACGCGUGGCCUCGAUUAGCCACUAGCUAGAGACUGAUCCAAAAAUCCAUUCUGAGGGGCUCUGGGCUGUCAAGAAGGGUGAUGGACAGAUGGCUUUACCUGCAGGCAAGGGAAACAGAUUCUUUUCCCCACUUUGUGAUAUUUGCUGCCUGGCACAUAGUAUGUGCUACUAUUAUAACUCCUUUUUUUCCAAUGUUUAUUUAUUUUUUUUAAUUUUUUUUUUAACAU